GAGAAGGAGACUGCAAAUCAGAUGCCAGAAAAUGGCAGGGGAGACAGAGGCCAUAUGAUGAGCAGGGAGAGAGACGCCAGGAGUUUGCCUGGCGUCUAGACCACAAGGCAGGCACAGGCCAAGAGACCCACGCAUGAGAAGGGUCGGAGGCAGGCACAGGCCAAGAGACCCACGCAUGAGAAGGGUCGGAGGGGACCCUGGUGGAGGGUGCCAAGGCUUAUGCCUAUCACCCUCUCCUCGCCAUGUCCCCCACCUGCAUAGCCUAGGUCUUCCCCACAGGUUGAGGGUAAUGGGCAGGGCUGCCUGCAGGCCAGGACCCCAUCAGGGGAGACAGCAGCCCCCUCCUGUCUUUGUCCCUGGCUGGGGGACAAAGGGAGUCAGGGUGCUGAGGGAGGGAAGUCGUCUCCAUGCCAUCCCCCUCACUCAUCUCUUUCUCCCCCGCAGUAUGAGAGCAAGUUGAGUGGCCUGAAGAAACCACCCCCACUUCAGCCCAGCAAAGAAGCCUGUUUCCUGGAGCAUUUGCACAAACAUCAGGGCUCCGUCCUGCACCCGGACUACAAGACAGCCUUCCCCUCCUUCGAGGACGCCCUAUAUCGCCUCCUGCCCUACCACGUCUACCAGGGCGCCCUCCCCUCCCCCAACGACUACCACAGAGUGGACGAGGAGUUUGAGACGGUCUCCACGCAGCUGCUGAAACGCACGCAGGCCAUGCUCAACAAAUACCGCCUCCUGCUCCUGGAAGAGUCCCGGAGGGUGAGCCCCUCGGCAGAGAUGGUGAUGAUCGACCGAAUGUUCAUUCAGGAGGAGAAGACCACCCUUGCCUUGGACAAACAGCUGGCCAAGGAGAAGCCA